GCGUUUACCGGAUAGCUCAGUUGGUAAAGCAUGAGACCCUUGAUCUCAUCUCAGGGUUGUGGGUUCGAGCCCCACGUAGAGCA